GAUGAACGCUGGCUACAGGCUUAACACAUGCAAGUCGAGGGGAAACGACGGGGAAGCUUGCUUCCCCGGGCGUCGACCGGCGCGCGGGUGAGUAACGCGUAUCCAACCUGCCUCUGACUGAGGGAUAACCCGUCGAAAGUCGGCCUAAUACCUCAUGGUAUCGUCUGCGGGCAUCCAACGACGAUUAAAGAUUUCAUCGGUCAGGGAUGGGGAUGCGUCUGAUUAGCUUGUUGGCGGGGUAGCGGCCCACCAAGGCUACGAUCAGUAGGGGUUCUGAGAGGAAGGCCCCCCACAUUGGAACUGAGAACCGGUCCAAACUCCUACGGGGGGCGACAGGGGGGAAUAUGAGUCAAUGGGGGAGGGCCUGAACCAGCCAAUUAGCGGGCAGGAAGCCGGCCCUAUGGGUUUAAAACUGCUUUUAUGGGGGGAAAAAGGGGGGGACGUGCCCCUCAUUGCGGGUACCCAAUGAAUAAGGACCGGCUAAUUCCGU
rnacentral:rRNA from 1 species